UACGUAGGGGGCAAGCGUUGUCCGGAUUUAUUGGGCGUAAAGAGCGUGUAGGCGGCUUUACAGGUCCGUUGUGAAAACUCGAGGCUCAACCUCGAGACGCCGGUGGAAACCGUAAAGCUAGAGUCCGGAAGAGGAGAGUGGAAUUCCUGGUGUAGCGGUGAAAUGCGCAGAUAUCAGGAAGAACACCCGUGGCGAAGGCGGGUCUCUGGACAGUUCCUGACGCUGAGGCACGAAGGCCAGGGGAGCGAACAGG
rnacentral:rRNA from 1 species